UACGUAGGGGGCAAGCGUUAUCCGGAUUUACUGGGUUUAAAGGGUGCGUAGGCGGAUUGAUAAGUUAGAGGUGAAAUGUCCGAGCUCAACUCGGGAACUGCCUCUAAUACUGUUGAUCUAGAGAGUAGAUGCGGUAGGCGGAAUGUAUGGUGUAGCGGUGAAAUGCUUAGAGAUCAUACAGAACACCGAUUGCGAAGGCAGCUUACCAAUCUAUAUCUGACGUUGAGGCACGAAAGCGUGGGGAGCAAACAGG
rnacentral:rRNA from 1 species